ensembl:lncRNA
AAACAAACCAGUUGAGUGCAAUGAAACCAAACAUGACUGGAAAAGUCACGUUCUGUGUGUGUAUUUACCUUGAAUGUGUCAUCGAAAAUGGAACGAGACGGAAUUCACGACACAAGCGGUUCACAAAAUGUUUCGUGUUAGGCUAUAAAAAUUGAUUUUAUCAAACAAAAAAACAUUCAUUGUGUAACAAUGAGCAUUGGGAUUGCAAACAGAGGAAGAUCGUCAAAGCCCGCUUCCAGGUUCUGUGCUCCGAGAGGUUAAGUGGGCCAAGACUAUGGUGGAGUGGAGUCCAAGUCUCGCGCCAUAGCCGCCACCGCAGACAGACUCCCACCCAGACCCUCCCCUAUAGAUCCCCCAUCCCUUUAACAACGCUUGUCAUCCCAGCAUCACACACAUCUCCCAGACUCGAACUCGUUGUGCUGUGUUCCCCUGCUCAACACAUCUGUGUGUGUCCCAACUGACUCUUGCUGCUAGAACCUGAAUCUCACGGCUAGAGUGCAAUGCAACGCAACGGCCAUAAUGAAGAGGACCUGAUCCCUAGGACCAUGCCUCAGGACUACCUGACAUGAUGACUCCUUGCUGUCCCCAGUCCAGCUGGCCGUGCUGCUGCUCCAGUUUCAACUGUUCUGCCUAUGAUUAUUAUUAUGCGACCAUGCUGGUCAUUUAUGAACAUUUGAACAUCUUGGCCAUGUUCUGUUAUAAUCUCCACCCGGCACAGCCAGAAGAAGACUGGCCACCCCACAUAGCCUGGUUCCUCUCUAGGUUUCUUCCUAGGUUUUGGCCUUUCUAGGGAGUUUUUCCUAGCCACCGUGCUUCUACACCUGCAUUGCUUGCUGUUUGGGGUUUUAGGCUGGGUUUCUGCACAGCACUUUGAGAUAUCAGCUGAUGUACGAAGGGCUAUAUAAAUUCAUUUGAUUUGAUACUAUUAUACCCCAUUCGAAGGUACUUAAAUCCUUUGUCUUGUCCAUUCACCCUCUGAUUGGCACACAUACAAAAUUGUCAAUUGUCUCAAGACUUUAAAAUUCUUCUUUAACCUGUCUCCUUCCCUUCGUCUACGCUGAUUGAAGUGGAUUUAAUAAGUGACAUCAAUUAGGGAUCAUAGCUUUAGUUGUCUCUGUCAUGGAGAGAGCAAGGGUUCUAAAUGGUUUGUACACUCAAUGUAUGUUAUAGAAAUAUUAAAGAAAAAAUUACAAGAGGAUUUACUACAGCAUUUUUUAAGAUUAGCAUACAAAAUGUAAAAAUGUAAAUUGUUAGAAUCCACUGUCUGGCUUUCUGCUUGAAUUUACAAAUAAUUUAAUGUGUCUAACAAGGAGGAGAACAUUUGCUGAUCUCCCUUGGGGGGAGUAGGGGGUCUGUCAGUAGGGGUAGAGAAGAUUAAGGCUUCUUGAAAUAGCUCUCUAGUGAUAUUGUCUGGUUGCUUCUUGGCAUAACCCAAGGCUUUAUACCAUAGUGACGGCAACAUAAAUGAGCCCCACUUAGGGUUGAAUAGUUGAUGGCAUACUGUAUCUAUUCUCACUCUGCAGCUACUGUACAUGCCAUAGUGAAACUCUGUAGCCUGAGAUCAAAGGAAGGAAAUAAUUGUC